UUUUUGUGACUGAGUGGCGGACGGGUGAGUAACGCGUGGGUAACCUGCCUCAUACAGGGGGAUAACAGCUUGGAAACGACUGCUAAUACCGCAUAAGCGCACAGGAUUGCAUGAUCCAGUGUGAAAAACUCCGGUGGUAUGAGAUGGACCCGCGUCUGAUUAGCCAGUUGGCGGGGUAACGGCCCACCAAAGCGACGAUCAGUAGCCGACCUGAGAGGGUGACCGGCCACAUUGGGACUGAGACACGGCCCAAACUCCUACGGGAGGCAGCAGUGGGGAAUAUUGCACAAUGGGGGAAACCCUGAUGCAGCGACGCCGCGUGAGCGAAGAAGUAUUUCGGUAUGUAAAGCUCUAUCAGCAGGGAAGAAGAAUGACGGUACCUGACUAAGAAGCACCGGCUAAAUACGUGCCAGCAGCCGCGGUAAUACGUAUGGUGCAAGCGUUAUCCGGAUUUACUGGGUGUAAAGGGAGCGCAGGCGGUACGGCAAGUCUGAUGUGAAAUCCCGGGGCUCAACCCCGGUACUGCAUUGGAAACUGUCGGACUAGAGUGUCGGAGGGGUAAGUGGAAUUCCUAGUGUAGCGGUGAAAUGCGUAUAUAUUAGGAGGAACACCUUUGGCGGAAGGCGGCUUACUGGGACGAUUACUGACGCUGAGG
rnacentral:rRNA from 1 species